rnacentral:rRNA from 1 species
UACGUAGGGUGCGAGCGUUUGUCCGGAAUUAUUGGGCGUAAAGGGCUCGUAGGCGGUCUGUCACGUCGGGAGUGAAAACACGGGGCUUAACCCCGUGCCUGCUUCCGAUACGGGCAGACUAGAGGUAUGCAGGGGGAGAACGGAAUUCCUGGUGUAGCGGUGAAAUGCGCAGAUAUCAGGAGGAACACCGGUGGCGAAGGCGGUUCUCUGGGCCUUACCUGACGCUGAGGAGCGAAAGCGUGGGGAGCGAACAGG